rnacentral:rRNA from 1 species
UCCUACGGGAGGCAGCAGUAGGGAAUCUUCCGCAAUGGACGAAAGUCUGACGGAGCAACGCCGCGUGAGUGAUGAAGGCUUUCGGGUCGUAAAACUCUGUUGUUAGGGAAGAACAAGUGCUAGUUGAAUAAGCUGGCACCUUGACGGUACCUAACCAGAAAGCCACGGCUAACUACGUGCCAGCAGCCGCGGUAAU